UCUAAAAACGAAAGUUUAAAACUCAAAUGAUGUGGCGGUGCUUUACCCCAUGUCAGGGGAUCCUGUGCCUUAAAUCGAUAAUCCACGAACACCCAAGCUUUUCUUGUUAGCAGCUUAUGUAUGGCCGUCUACGUUUGCUUCACAAAAACUCAAAAGGAAACACAACAGCCAAAAGCUUAACAACUCAGGUGACACAUAGCUAAUGAAAAGCAGGCCAUGGGAUACAAAUAACCAUUCUUAUCAAACUUAGGAUUUAAAACCCUAUAAAGGAGGACUUGAAAGUAAGGUAAUCUAACAACGUUUACCUGAAUAAGAACUAAAGCGCGCACACA
rnacentral:rRNA from 1 species